rnacentral:rRNA from 1 species
AGAGUUUGAUCCUGGCUCAGGACGAACGCUGGCGGCGUGCUUGAUACAUGCAAGUCAAGGAGAACAUUAUCUUCGGAUAGUUAGUAAACUGGCGAACGGGUGAGUAACGCGUAAACAACUUGCCUCAGAGAUUGGGACAACAUUGGGAAACCAGUGCUAAUACCAAAUAAUGCAGCGGGCUCUUCGGAGCACAGUUGUUAAAGUAGGCUUCGGCUUACACUUUGAGAUAGGUUUGCGUCCGAUUAGUUAGUUGGUAGGGUAAAAGCCUACCAAGACCAAGAUCGGUAGCUGGUCUGAGAGGAUGAUCAGCCACACUGGAAUUGAGAUACGGUCCAGACUCCUACGGGAGGCAGCAGUAAGGAAUUUUGCACAAUGGGCGAAAGCCUGAUGCAGCAACGCCGCGUGAACGAUGAAGUUUUUAGGAAUGUAAAGUUCUGUCGUAUGGGAAGAAAUGUUUCGAAUGCUAAUAUCAUUCGUUAAUGACGGUACCAUACAAGAAAGCACCGGCUAACUUCGUGCCAGCAGCCGCGGUAAUACGAGGGGUGCUAGCGUUGUCCGGAUUUACUGGGCGUAAAGGGUACGUAGGCGUUUUAAAAAGUUGAAUGUUAAAUAUCUUAGCUUAACUAAGAAAAUGCAUUCAAAACUGUUAAAAUAGAGUUUGAGAGAGGAACGCAGAAUUCAUGGUGGAGCGGUGACAUGCGUAGAUAUCAUGAGGAAAGUCAAAUGCGAAGGCAGCCUUCUGGCUCAAAACUGACGCUGAGGUACGAAAGCGUGGGGAGCGAACAGGAUUAGAUACCCUGGUAGUCCACGCCGUAAACGAUGAGUAUUUAGUGCUGGAGGAUUCGACCCUUUCAGUGCUGUAGCUAACGCGAUAAAUACUCCGCCUGGGGACUACGAUCGCAGAUGAAACUCAAGGAUUGACGG